UGGGGAAUAUUGCACGAUGGGCGCAAGCCUGAUGCAGCCAUGCCGCGUGUGUGAAGAAGGCCUUCGGGUUGUAAAGCACUUUCAGCGAGGAGGAAGGUGGUGAGCUUAAUACGCUCAUCAAUUGACGUUACUCGCAGAAGAAGCACCGGCUAACUCCGUGCCAGCAGCCGCGGUAAUACGGAGGGUGCAAGCGUUAAUCGGAAUUACUGGGCGUAAAGCGCACGCAGGCGGUUUGUUAAGUCAGAUGUGAAAAUCCCCGGGCUCAACCUGGGAACUGCAUUUGAAACUGGCAAGCUAGAGUCUCGUAGAGGGGGUAGAAUUCCAGGUGUAGCGGUGAAAUGCGUAGAGAUCUGGAGGAAUACCGGUGGCGAAGGCGGCCCCCUGGACGAAGACUGACGCUCAGGUGCGAAAGCGUGGGGAGCAAACAGAUUAGAUACCCUGGUGUCACGCCUGUAAACGAUGUCGA
rnacentral:rRNA from 1 species